CCCCACUGCUAUCGGGAUGGGACUAAGACAUGCUAGUCGAGCGUCUCCAAGCUAUGGAAGAGACGCGGCACACAGCUCAGUAACACGUGGCUAACCUGCCCUUGGGACAAGGACAACUCCGGGAAACUGGGGCUAAUCCCUGAUAAGUGAGAACUCCUGGAAUGGAUUCUCGCUCAAAGGACGUUUAGACCAUGCUUCUAGGCGUCGCCCAAGGAGGGGGCCGCGACCGAUCAGGUUGUUGGUGAGGUAACGGCUCACCAAGCCUUUAACCGGUACGGGCCGUGAGAGCGGAAGCCCGGAGAUGGGCACUGAGACAAGGGCCCAGGCCCUACGGGGCGCAGCAGUCGCGAAAACUCCGCAAUACACGAAAGUGUGACGGGGCUAUCCCGAGUGCCAUCCGCUGAGGAUGGCUUUUCCCCAGUGUAUAAAGCUGGGGGAAUAAGGAGAGGGCAAGCCUGGUGUCAGCCGCCGCGGUAAUACCAGCUCUCCGAGUGGUGGGGAUGUUUAUUGGGCCUAAAGCAUUCGUAGCCUGCUUGGCAAGUCCUCCGUUAAAUCCAACGAUUCAAUCGUUGGGCUGCGGGGGAUACUGUCCAGCUAGGGGGCGGGAGAGGCCGACGGUAUCCCCGGGGUAGGGGUGAAAUCCUAUAAUCCCGGGAGGACCACCAGUGGCGAAGGCUGUCGGCUAGAACGCGCUCGACGGUGAGGGAUGAAAGCUGGGGGAGCGAACCGGAUUAGAUACCCGGGUAGUCCCAGCUGUAAACGAUGCAGGCUAGGUGUUGGCGCGGCUACGUGCCGCUCCAGUGCCGCAGGGAAGCCGUUAAGCCUGCCGCCUGGGAAGUACGGCCGCAAGGCUGAAACUUAAAGGAAUUGGCGGGGGAGCACCACAAGGUGUGAAGCUUGCGGUUUAAUUGGAGUCAACGCCGGG
rnacentral:rRNA from 1 species